GCAAACUUGGUCAUUUAGAGGAAGUAAAAGUCGUAACAAGGUUUCCGUAGGUGAACCUGCGGAAGGAUCAUUAACGAGUUAGGGUCUCUCACGGCCCGACCUCCCAACCCUCUGUCUACUGAACCUUUUGUUGCUUCGGCGGGCCCGUCCCCCCUGGGGGACCGCCGGAGGACCGUCGAGAGACGUCCUCUGCGCCCGCGCCCGCCGACAGCCAACUCCAAAAACUCUUGCAUCAACCGUGAUCAUUGCCUAAGUUUUUAUCAAAUUUAAAUCAAAACUUUCAACAACGGAUCUCUUGGUUCUGGCAUCGAUGAAGAACGCAGC
rnacentral:misc_RNA from 1 species